GAUGAAGAACGCAGCGAAAUGCGAUACUUGGUGUGAAUUGCAGAAUCCCGUGAACCAUCGAGUCUUUGAACGCAAGUUGCGCCCGAAGCCACUGGGCCGAGGGCACGCCUGCCUGGGCGUCACACGUCGUUGCCCCCCCCCAUCUACUCCUUCGGGAUUGCGGGGGGCGGAUGAUGGCCUCCCGUGCGCCUAGCCGCGCGGUUGGCAUAAAUACCAAGUCCCCGGCGACGCACGCCACGACAAUCGGUGGUUGCGAAACCUCGGUUGCCCGUCGUGUGCGUUCGUCGCGCAUCGAGGGCUCGAAAAAAUGCUCGGCUCCGGCUCGGCUUUCAACGCGACCCCAGGUCAGGCGGGGUUACCCGCUGAAUUUAAGCAUAUCAAUAAGCGGAGGA
rnacentral:misc_RNA from 1 species